UGUUGUCCUAAAAAAUCGGAUUCCCAGAACCACAGCAAAUGAUUUCAGCUUAUUUACUGAGAUCAAAAGUUGGCAAAUAACCAUGAUGUCAGAGGACCAGAGAUUGUUACAUAAUCAUCCUUCAGUAGAGACAAUGAGGUCACAUGUUUAUCCAUCUAAUCACUGAUCAGGGACAUAUUUGAUUGCAGAUAAUGUGCUCUCUGGCCCACAACUUAAUUACUGAGUAUCUGAAUCAACAAAGCUUUCAGAUAUAGGUCUUGCCUAAUGUGCAUCUGUUAGAGAUCAUUGCCUCUGUUUGGCCUGGAAAUGAAAGUUCUGGGGGAUACAACUGGCCAUUGCCAGCGCUGUUUUUGAUGACCUCACAUUGGCAAACAUGCCAAUUCUCAUGGUUUAUUUUCUAGUCAGCAGUAGGCUUUGUUGUUUGUAUCUACGGCCAAAUGGAACCAAUGACUCCAAAGUGGCAGCUAUUGGUGAAGCCUCUGAGAGAAGCACGCUCUCUGAGGAAAUUAACGCUGCUCAACAGAGAAGAAGUGAUUCCCUUCCUGAGCUGGUCAUUAAAAUCCCAGUGUACUGUGCUCUUUAUGUAUCAAGAUGCCCUGCUGAGUUUUGCUCCAAACCCUCCAACGUGGGGCAAUAUGGCCUGAUGUGCUCACUCACGCUCAAACACUGGAGCCUUAACAGUAACAGCAAGCACACUGCUCGCGGUUCUAAGCUACAGGGCUAGGGAAAGAACACAUAAUGAUUGCAAAGCAGGAAAGAGCUUCCACAGAAGUCAUCCCACACCUUAGCGCUCCUUGCAAUUCCUUGAGAUUCACCAUGGCACAGGAGGAGGAAGAGUCAUCCCCCCUAAGCCGCCUCCUUUCUAUAACACCCGCCACUCUUCCAGCAUUGCCUUAAGUCUCUGCAAGUGACAGUCUUCUACCUUCUCCCCAAUAUAUGCCUGUGUGAGCCAGGAAAGAGUAAAGAGCUGGAAAGUCAAGUUUCCUUUGUGUUACAACUCAUCAGUUCUGGUUCUUUAUUAAAGUGACAUACUAAUCUCCACCCACAGUAAACAUGAAAAACCUUCUAGUAUACAUGAAAUGCUCUACAUUAUGUUAGUAUAUGUUGACAUAAUAAUUUGAACUUGGGAGGAAAAGGUACAAAUUUGAAUUUUGCCUAUGUUUUGUCAGAUAGGAAAAGGUGAAAAUACUUAAUGAAGACCAAAAAUAUCUUCAACCUGCAUUUUCACUCAUAUAAAACAUGCAUGAAUCACUUUUUAAAGAAACCAUUUUUCCACUGAAGAUAAAGUGUUGCCUUAUGCGUGACUGGAUAUGUGGGUUUGAAAAGUUAAAAUUUUACUUUGAUGUUAUAAAGGUAAGUGUUGCCUGAGCAAAAGGAGCAAAAUAUUUUGUUAACCUCUGAUGCAGGUUGAUUGAUUUUGAUACUACACCAAAUCAAGUUAUUAGGAAGUAUGAUAAGGUCCAUUUAGAAUCACCUGGUACAAGCUCUGUUGCCAUGGGAACAAUUAAACCAUGACACACGAAGUAUCCAGGGUCAGUGUUCAUGCAGCAUGACAGGUCUGUGUCCUGCUUCCAUGAGGACAGCAAGUGACUUCCCAACCAGGGGCUUUAAAACUUCCCUCCUUACUAGAAUAGUGUGGGUCCCACAGGAAGGAAACAGAUCCAAAGUGUCUGUGGCUGAUAACAAGAGUGAGGUAGGGCCAAUAAGCCACAAUGUAUUUUUGACCGCUAUGUACCAUUAAGACAUAAGGCGGGGGAAAGAUAGGUUUUUUACAGUAACAAAUAUGGUCUUUACUUCAUGAAUUGCAGCAUGCACUUCUUUUAUUAAUUAGAAUGUGUUUCACAAUCAAUGGUAUCUUAUACAGUUUUUCAGGCUGAGUCAUACUGUGUUGCCCAGGCUGGCCUCAAACUCUUGGGCUCAAGAGAUCCUCCUGCAUCAGCCUCCCAAGUAUCUGGGAGUAUAAGCAAGCACCACUGCAUCUAGCUAUACCUUAUAAUUUUAAUUGUCAUGUUUGCUUUAUUUCUUAGCGUAGUGGUUGAUUGACUAUGUCAACUUGAGAAGUUAAGAAGCAUAACUAACCUUGGCUCAGUAAUUGGCUCAGCAAUUCUACACCGUAGGGUAUAGAGGAGCCACCCUAGGGUGUAGAGGAGCCACCGUAGGGUGUACAGGAGCCACUCUAGGGUGGAUCAUCACCUAGAUAAUAUAAAGGGAAAUGAAGAAGGACAGAGGAACUUCCAUUCCUUUUGGAGGAGCUCCAGUCUUCACCUUCAGCUUGGACUUAGUCUCCUGGCUUCUAGUGCAGACUCUUCGGCUUCCGCCUUGGAUCCUUCAGCCUUCUGUCGCAGACUCAUCGGCCUCCUGGUAUGGACUUGCACGGAACUCUGCAGUGAACUCCAGACCCUGGACUGAUUCCUUUGGUCUUCAAUGGGCAGAUACCCUCUGCACACUUCCCCAUACAACUCUCUGGCUGACCAUCGUAAGCCAACCUUGUAAUUUCUUAUAAUUUGCACAUCCUGCGUUAUAUCUGUUUCUCCAGUCAAACCCCGACUGAUACACUUAGCAAGACAUAAAACGAUGUAAUUAGCUGGGAAUAUAGCUCAGUGGUAAAGCACCCACUUAGCAUAGAUGAGGCCUUGAGUUUGAUCCCCAGCAGAACAAAACAACCAAACCAAAAUAAAAUAAAGCAUUUCUACAAUUAGCACUUUUUAGAUUGAACAAAAUGUAAGGGCCUGAAAUAAGGUCAAAAUAAGGUAAAUAAGACUCAGAGAAGAUGGUCUAUGUCAGACCAAUGGGCUAUUUCCAUCAUUACAGUUUGAAUGAAAGAGGGUGAAAGUAAAUAUAAGCACUGUUUGGGGAAAGGUUAAUCCACAAAAAGUUUGAUCACUUGCAUCCAAUCCAUUUAUGAGGCAUCUACAGGGGGUAUCUACACAAUGGUGUGUUCAGGUUAACACAAGCCAUUUAAUCAAGUAUGCAUGCUCUAUUGUAGGUUGCAGUUUUCAGUUAGGGAGCAUGUAAAGGUCAGCACAAUAAUAGGGUAAAACACAUGCUAUAAAACAACUACCUUUCCUGUUUGGAGAUUAAUUUUUCAAAUUCAUAUAGCCUCUCUAUGGGUCAUGGGUAUUUUAUGGUAAUAAAAAGAGCCCAGUGCUAGGAGUUGCUAUGGAUUCUCUGUUCUUGAAAUAGUGACAACUGUUCUGCACCCCAUUAUCCCCAUUUGUAGUGUGAAUAUUAGGCUACAUAAGUGGUUUACAAACCUCACAACUAUAAAAUCUUUCCUUCUGCCAGACAUGGUUGCACAUGCCUGUAAUCCCAGCACUCAAGAGCCUGAGGCAGGAGGAUCACUGCGUGUUUGAGGUCAGCCUAGGCUACAUAGUGAGGCCCUGUCUCAAAAAAUAAAAUAAAAUCUUUCCUUCAAAUAAAUUAUUGAAAGGACAUCUAAAAUGCUUAGUAGGUGGAGAUGGCCUGUUCAAAUACUGUUAUCCUUACAAGUCUUCUGAGGUUAGUAUUGUCUUCUCUGUUUUACUGAUGAAACCGAACCACAAAGAGGUUCAAUACUUUUCUCAAGGUCACACAAAUAGUACAGGCCAGGAUUCCACAUUGAAGCUGUCAAACUUUAGAGUCAGGCCUUUCCACUCUACCAAACUGGUCUCUAAAGAGUCUAUUUCAUUUGGCCAAAGUUAGCUCUAAUCAGCUCUAAAAUUACAGACUUAUAUUUGGAGAUUGGCUUUUGGAAAGGGGAGUGCAAGAUGGCUACCUCUAGAAUAGGUGCCAAAGAAAAGCCACAUGGAAAAAUGGUCCAUUAACUCACUGCCUUGACACUUUUUCUUCUUUAACGCAUCACUCAAGCAAUCCGGAAGCUAAAUGGGGCUUUAUGACAGUAAAUAUUGACAGGAACAAAAGCAGCCUGAAAAUAUGCCCUAUGUCCUAAUCAUUAAUGCGCACCAAUAAGAGACAGGCAGAGGAGUGCUUUGUCAACUGUAGCAUGCAUUCACUCACAACAAGGUGAUCAGUGAUGCUUCAUUAAUAUAACCGAAGGGCAGGGAUAUUUGAGUCACACAUUAUAGACUAGAUUAUAGCCAUAAGAAAAUUAUCUUGAAUUUGAUAGGAAAAUGAAGAGCUACAGAUCUCCAUUUUUAUUCCAUCAGCCAGAGAAUUGGUUCAUAGUUUUGCUUUUUUCACUGAUUUGUUCUAUUUGAAUACAAACAAAAUACAUAUUCAAUCACUCCAUUUUUGCACCUGAAACUUGGGUGUGACACUUGCUGUUCAAAAUCUGUUUGGAACAUAAGGUAUGUUUCAUGAAAAGAUAAACACGGAACAAACAAUAUUAAAGACCUAGAGUCAAUGUAAGAUUGGGCUUCCUCCUCUAUAGAGACGCUGUGUGUGGGCUGUGGAGAUAGCUCAGUAGGCAAAGCACUUGCCCAGCAUGCACAAGGCUCAAGAGUCAGCCCCCAGUACCACCAAAUAAAU
ensembl:lincRNA